AUGAGUACCCCAGCUGUGCCCUGAGACCUGCAGCUGCCCCCGAGUCAGAAGGCCCAGUCUGCAUUCAAAGAGCAAAGAAAACAAAAACUCCAGGAACAUCUGUUGAGAAGAGAAACACUUUUUGCAUACAAGCAGGAAAAUGAGAUGUUAUCCAGUAGUAGAGGUCAGAGAGCUGGGACAUCUGAGGACCAAGUUCAAGAAGGGACUAAAGUGCUGAAACUUAAAACAAAAAUGGCUGAUAAAGAAAAUGUGAAGAGACCUGCAGGGAGUGAAAAUAGUACAAUAGUGGGGAGAAAUUGCAUUCCUUUAAAACCUUCAAAUGAACUAACCAAUUCAACUAUAGUAAUUGACACACAUAAACCUAAGGAUAGUAAUGAAACUCUGCAGUUGUUACUAACUGAAGAUGAUCCCCAAAGUCAACAUAUGACAUUAAGCCAGGCAUUUCACCUUAAAAACAAUAGUGAAAAGAAACAGAUAACUGCAGAAAAACUAAAGCAAGAUGCUAACAUGCCCAAGAAACCUGUACGUGGAUCUUAUUGUGGCCAGAUUGUUCAGUCUAAGGUUAAUUCAUUUAGAAAACCUCUACAAGUCAAAGAUGAGAGUUCUGCAGCAACAAAGAAACUUUCAACCACUGUCCCUAAAGCCACAAAGCCUCAGCCUGUAAACACCAGCAGUGUAACAGUGAAAAGUAAUAGAUCCUCAAGUAUAACUGCCACUACGAAAUCUGUCUAAGCACUACAUCUCAAAACACACAACUUGUGCGACAUCCAAUUAGAAGUCAUCACAGUAAUACCCAGAACACUGUGAAACAAGGCAUCAGUAGAACCUCUGCCCAUGUUACAGUCUGGAAAGUGCCUCGUGAAAAAGAACUGUUAGAAUCAAAAACAGCUUUACCUAGCGUCAAAACAAGUUCUUGUCAAGAUAUAAUUAGAAGUAAGGCAUUGUUAAGAAGCAUAGCAACUGAAGUUGUGGCUAGGCCUGCUUCAUUGUCUAAUGACAAACUGAUAGAAAAGUUGAAGCCCAUUGACCAGCGAAGACAUACUAUAGGAAAAGCAACUGUUGGUAGAUCAGCUCAUCCCAAAGAAACCACAGAAGACAGAAAAGCUCGUCUGAGUGAGUGGAAAGCUGGCAAGGGAAGAGUGCUAAAAAGGCCUCUGAACUCAGUAGUUAUUCAGCAUGAGCCUGAAGGACAAAAAGAAAAACCAGCUGGGUCUUUUUGGACUACCAUGGCAGAAGAAGAUGAACAAAGAUUAUUUACUGAAAAAGUAAACAACACAUUUUCUGAAUGCCUGAACUUGAUUAAUGAGGGAUGUCCAAAAGAAGGUAUACUGGUCACAGUUAAUGACCUGAUUAAAAAUAUUCCAGAUGCCAAAAAGCUUGUUAAAUAUUGGAUAUGUCUUUUACGUAUGGAACCAAUCACAAGUCCUGUUGAAAAUAUUAUUGCAAUCUAUGAGAAAGCCAUUCUGGCAGGGGCUCAGCCUAUUGAAGAGAUGCGACACACAAUUGUAGAUAUUCUAACAAUGAAGAGUCAAGAAAAAGUUAAUUUGAAAGAAAAUAAGGAGAAGACUUGUGCAACCAAGGAAUUAGUCACAGAAGUCAGUAUUGAAGAUACAGGUGUUGAUGUAGAGCCAGAAAAACCAGAAAUAGAGAGUAAACAUCAUAGAAAUGUCCUAUUGCAAGACUGUGAAAAAGAGCAAGACAGCAAAACAAAAGAUCCAACCCAUGAUAUUAAAACCCCCAAUACAGAAAUGAGGACAAAUUCCUUAAUUAAAUAUAAUGUGUCUACUACGCCAUACUUGCAAAGAACAGCUAACGGAGUUGGGAAGACAAACUGAAGCUUUUGUAUGCCGCCCUAAUGCAGCACUGUGCCGGAUGUACUCUGAGGAUUCAAUGACAGAAGAGAACUAAAGCUCUGAUAGGGAAUUGGGUUUUUAUGAUUUGUGGGGUGUUUUGUUUGGAGUAGCUUUAUAUUGCCCUUAGGACUGAAGUUGGCCAAGUACCUAUGUAUCUUAAGUAUUCAUGGCAGUGAGCUUCUUUACUAACAUUCAUGUUAUGGCCAGAAUUGUCCUCUGCAUUAGAAAGCUAAUACUGCUGUUUGAAUCUCAACUGACUGUGUUUUUUCUUUUAAGAUAGGUAAAUUUUGUCAGCUAGUUUACUAUGUUCCUUGAAUAUAAAUAGGUUAUAAUACUAGGCUGUUCACUUUACUAACUAUAAGUACAGUAAUGAUGCAUCAUUAGAAAAUGAGUUAUUCCAGUUAAAAUGUGUAUGUUUGCAUUGACAUGUUUUUAAAAGUUAUGAUCUCCCUACCAUUAAACAGAAUAAUUUUUGGGGGUGCUUUCUUGGAUUAGUAUGAAAGUUAAAAAUUGUAUAGAAUGACUCACUUUGAAUAUUAAGACACAGGAGGUUUAGCUUGCUUUCUCACCAAAUUCAUGUUACCCAGGCUUGUGUUCUGUUGUCCCUUGGACUGCCUAUUGAUUGAUGAAAGUGUCUGCACUGUCUCUCUUCGUCAGUGAUAGUCUGUGGUCUCAUGGCCUCUUUUGAUUAUAACUGCGGUCACCAAGAAGGGUGCUUAAUUAAAUAACCCCAUUUAUAGAAGAUACUUUGUGUAAGAAAGAAAAGAUGCCAGAUUUAUUGGUUUAACUUUUGUAACUUCACUU